CAGAUGUUUUAUGACCAGCCCCGGAUAUUUCUCACAUAGGAAAAAAAUCUAUAAAACUAAAUAUAAAUAAUGUUAUUUCUGACGACCCCUAGCCCUCACUGCCACCUGUGUGGAUGUAGAGGGAGUGAGCGGAGCAGUGUAAUGUCCUCUUGUAUACAAGCUAGGUCAGUCCAUCUGCUGGCCUCAUUUGGCAUGGACGGCGUGCAAUGCUGCUUCUGCUCAGCUGUCUGGCUCACACAGAAGCAGUAUUAACACUCCACCAAAAAGGGACAAUGCAGUGAAGCAGGGGGAGCUGGGCCAUCCACAGAACCACAGGAGAAAUCCUCAUCACCUCCCAUGAAGAAAAUGGCUAUGGCAGAACUAUUUGGAGAGCUUUUCAAAGCAAAGGAGCAGACCAAGCCCUUUUCCCAAAUCACUGAGCAGGAGGUCAGCUCAUACAAAUCAGCAGACAGCAUUCAUGUAGAUGCUGACCCACUGAAAUGGUGGUAGGCAAAUGGGAGUAACUAUUCCUCAUGUUCCAAAACACCACCUCUGUGUCCCUGCAACGUUUGUACCAAGUGAAAGAGUUUUCUCAACUGCAGGGGACAUUUUAAGUGCAAGCAGAUCUCGUCUUGCUGCAGAGAGUGUUGACAAACUUAUCUUUUUGCAGAAGAACCUGAAAAUGGAGGAAUAGACACUCGUACUAUGUGAAGAUAUUUGGUGUCAAAUGCAACACUGCAGAAAGGAGGUGCUGGAGAAACUGAAGAAGCAGAGAGAUGCAUGGGGAGGUGAUGAAGAUGUGGGAAGGGGAAUGCAGAAGAGAUGAAGCACCUGAGGUGAGGAUGAAUGUGUUAGGAGGAG